rnacentral:rRNA from 1 species
AACGAACGCUGGCGGCGUGCCUAACACAUGCAAGUCGAGCGGGAAAGCCCGCGAGGGUGAGUACAGCGGCGCACGGGUGCGUAACACGUGGGUAAUCUGCCCAGAAGCCCGGAAUAACCUCCCGAAAGGGAAGCUAAUACCGGAUAAGACCACGGGAACCUCGGUUCCUGCGGGAAAAGGUGGCCUCUGCAUGCAAGCUAUCACUUCUGGAUGAGCCCGCGGCCCAUCAGCUCGUUGGCGGGGUAAUGGCCCACCAAGGCUACGACGGGUAGCUGGUCUGAGAGGACGAUCAGCCACACUGGAACUGAGACACGGUCCAGACUCCUACGGGAGGCAGCAGUGGGGAAUCUUGCGCAAUGGGCGAAAGCCUGACGCAGCAACGCCGCGUGUGUGAUGAAGGUCUUCGGAUUGUAAACCUCUUUCGACAGGGAAGAACAUUCUAUUUAACAAAUAGAACUGACGGUACCUGGAGAAGAAGCCAUGGCCAACUCUGUGCCAGCCGCCGCGGUAACAC